rnacentral:rRNA from 1 species
GACAGAGGGUGCAAGCGUUGUUCGGAAUCACUGGGCGUAAAGGGCGUGUAGGCGGUGAAGUAUGUCCGACGUGAAAUCCCUCGGCUUAACUGGGGAAGUGCAUCGGAAACUACUUCGCUAGAGUGCGAGAGAGGAUGGCGGAAUUCCCAGAGUAGAGGUGAAAUUCGUAGAUACUGGGAGGAACACCGGUGCGAAGGCGGCCAUCUGGAUCGCAACUGACGGCUUAAGCGCGAAAAGCGUGGGGAGCAAACAGG